AACGAACGCUGGCGGCAGGCUUAACGCAUGCAAGUCGAGCGAGACCUUCGGGUCUAGCGGCGGACGGGUGAGUAACGCGUGGGAACGUGCCCUUCUCUACGGAAUAGCCCCGGGAAACUGGGAGUAAUACCGUAUACGCCCUUUGGGGGAAAGAUUUAUCGGAGAAGGAUCGGCCCGCGUUGGAUUAGGUAGUUGGUGGGGUAAUGGCCCACCAAGCCGACGAUCCAUAGCUGGUUUGAGAGGAUGAUCAGCCACACUGGGACUGAGACACGGCCCAGACUCCUACGGGAGGCAGCAGUGGGGAAUCUUAGACAAUGGGGGCAACCCUGAUCUAGCCAUGCCGCGUGAGUGAUGAAGGCCUUAGGGUUGUAAAGCUCUUUCAGCUGGGAAGAUAAUGACGGUACCAGCAGAAGAAGCCCCGGCUAACUCCGUG
rnacentral:rRNA from 1 species